GCAAGUCGAAUGGGUUUAGACCCAUGGCAGACGAGGUAGGAACACGUAGGUACGUACCGUAGAGUCAAGGAUACUCUGUCGAAAGGCAGCAUAAUACUUGAUGGUCCCUUCGGGGUAAAGAUUUAUCGCUCUAUGAACGGCCUGCGGUCUAUCAGCUUGAUGGUAAGGUAACGGCUUACCAUGGCUACGACGGAUAGGGGAGGUGAGAGCCUGACC
rnacentral:rRNA from 1 species